rnacentral:rRNA from 1 species
UACGUAGGGGGCAAGCGUUGUCCGGAUUUAUUGGGCGUAAAGAGCGUGUAGGCGGCCAUACAGGUCAGCUGUGAAAACUCGAGGCUCAACCUCGAGACGUCGGUUGAAACCGUAUGGCUAGAGUCCGGAAGAGGAGAGUGGAAUUCCCGGUGUAGCGGUGAAAUGCGCAGAUAUCGGGAAGAACACCCGUGGCGAAGGCGGCUCUCUGGGACGGUACUGACGCUGAGACGCGAAAGCGUGGGGAGCAAGCAGG